rnacentral:rRNA from 1 species
AGUGAACGCUGGCGGUAGGCCUAACACAUGCAAGUCGAACGGCAGCACAGUAAGCGCUUGCCCUUACGGGUGGCGAGUGGCGGACGGGUAAGGAAUACAUCGGAAUCUACUUUUUCGUGGGGGAUUACGUGGGGAAACUUAUGCUAAUACCUCAUACGACCUACGGGUGAAAGCAGUGGAUCUUCGGACCUUGCGCGAUUGAAUGAGCCGAUGUCGGAUUAGCUAGUUGGCGGGGUAAAGGCCCACCAAGGCAACGAUCCGUAGCUGAUCUGAGAGGAUGAUCAGCCACACUGGAACUGAGACACGGUCCAGACUCCUACGGGAGGCAGCAGUGGGGAAUAUUGGACAAUGGGCGCAAGCCUGAUCCAGCCAUGCCGCGUGAGUGAAGAAGGCCUUCGGGUUGUAAAACCCUUUUAUUGGGAAAGAAAAGCAGCAGGUUAAUACCCCGCUGUUCUGACGGUACCCAAAGAAUAAGCACCGGCUAACUUCGUG